ACCGAGCAACGCCGCGUGAGUGAAGAAGGUUUUCGAAUCGUAAAGCUCUGUUGUUAAGGAAGAACGUGUGUGAGAGUGGAAAGUUCACACAGUGACGGUACUUAACCAGAAAGGGACGGCUAACUACGUGCCAGCAGCCGCGGUAAUACGUAGGUCCCGAGCGUUGUCCGGAUUUAUUGGGCGUAAAGCGAGCGCAGGCGGUUAGAUAAGUCUGAAGUGAAAGGCAGUGGCUCAACCAUUGUAGGCUUUGGAAACUGUUUAACUUGAGUGCAGAAGGGGAGAGUGGAAUUCCAUGUGUAGCGGUGAAAUGCGUAGAUAUAUGGAGGAACACCGGUGGCGAAAGCGGCUCUCUGGUCUGUAACUGACGCUGAGGCUCGAAAGCGUGGGGAGCGAACAGGAUUAGAUACCCUGGUAGUCCACGCCGUAAACGAUGAGUGCUAGGUGUUAGGUCCUUUCCGGGACUUAGUGCCGCAGCUAACGCAUUAAGCACUCCGCCUGGGGAGUACGACCGCAAGGUUGAAACUCAAAGGAAUUGACGGGGGCCCGCACAAGCGGUGGAGCAUGUGGUUUAAUUCGAAGCAACGCGAAGAACCUUACCAGGUCUUGACAUCCCGAUGCCCGCUCUAGAGAUAGGGCUUUACUUCGGUACAUCGGUGACAGGUGGUGCAUGGUUGUCGUCAGCUCGUGUC
rnacentral:rRNA from 1 species